rnacentral:misc_RNA from 1 species
AGCUAUCAUUAAGAAAUCCAUGAAGGAAAUAAAUGGAGUUUUUACUUCUAGAUCACAAUGUUGCACUCUGUUGGCUUGAUCUUAUCUUUUGUAUUAUAAUGUUUUCAUUUAGCGCUCAAUUUUACCUCAACUUAGACUUUCUGGUAAAGCUAGUUGGGCCCUGCAGAGGUUAUGUUUAUAAUGCACUGUCUAAUAUUGAUCCUAACACUGUUCUGCUAGAUGUGAUACAAUCAAAUUUGCCAAGACACGAGUUUCUGUGUCAAUUAAAUAUCACAGCCAAUCAGAAGACGGG